GGGAAGCGCUUGCAAUCAGACUUGUUUAAACUGUUCGGCCGGUCUUCUGACCGGUUUACUCAGUUUGGACAGGCCAGCAUCAGUUUCGGCGGCCGGAUAAAGGCUCUGGGAAUGUGGCCUUCACUUCGGUGAAGGUGUUAUAGCCCAGGGUGUAAUACGGCCAGCCGGGACUGAGGUCCGCGCUUCGGCUAGGAUGCUGGCGUAAUGGUUGUAAGCGACCCGUCUUGAAACACGG
rnacentral:rRNA from 1 species